rnacentral:rRNA from 1 species
UACGAAGGGGGCGAGCGUUGUUCGGAAUUACUGGGCGUAAAGGGUGCGUAGGCGGCGCGGUAAGUCGGGUGUGAAAUCUCGGAGCUUAACUCCGAAACUGCAUUCGAUACUGCCGUGCUUGAGGACUGGAGAGGAGACUGGAAUUUACGGUGUAGCGGUGAAAUGCGCAGAUAUCAGGAGGAACACCGGUGGCGAAGGCGGGUCUCUGGGCCGAAACUGACGCUGAGGAGCGAAAGCGUGGGGAGCAAACAGG